rnacentral:rRNA from 1 species
UACGUAGGGACCAAGCGUUGUCCGGAAUCAUUGGGCGUAAAGAGCUCGUAGGCGGCCACUCAAGUCGAAUGUGAAACCUCGAGGCUUAACCUCGAGCCUGCAUUCGAUACUGGGCGGCUAGAGUCUGGUAGGGGGAUCUGGAAUUCCUGGUGUAGCGGUGGAAUGCGCAGAUAUCAGGAGGAACACCGGUGGCGAAGGCGGGAUCCUGGGCCAGUACUGACGCUGAGGAGCGAAAGCGUGGGGAGCGAACAGG